rnacentral:lncRNA from 1 species
AUUCACUCUCCAACCAUUCAAUCAUCAAAUCUCCAAAUUUCCUCUGCUAAUCAUUCUAAAUUUCUACGUGCAUCAGCCGAAAACUUCAAUACACCGUUUUCGUUUCAACACCACCGACUUCCCAUUUUCCUACACAAUUGCAAGACAGGUAACAUUACUCCAACUCAAGCAUUACGUUUCUUUCACCUUAUGCUGCAUUCAAAUCCUACCCUUCCCAUAUCUUCUUUCAAUGAUCAGUUACUUGGCGGACUUACUAAGAUUAAGCAUUACUUUCUAGUGCUCUCUCUCUUCCAUAAAAUGCACCUUGCUGGACUUUCGCCUGAUUGCUGCACACUCAAUAUUUUGAUUAAUUGCCUUUGUAAUGUGAACUGAGUUAGCCAAGGUCUUGCAGCCAUGGUCGGGAUAUGAGGAGAGGUUACGUUCCUGAUACAGUCACAUAUAAUACCUUGGUUACGUAUUAGGUUGUAGUCCUGAUGUGUUUACGUAUAGGACUUUAAUCAAGGGGCUUUGUCGACCGGGAAUGUUAACAUUGUACUCAAAUUGCAUCAAGAAAUUCUCAAUGACACUUGUGGAUAUGGGAUUAAUUGUAAGCUUGAUGUUAUUUCCUAUAGUAUCAUCAUAGAUGAGCUUUGUAAGAUUGGGCGUGAAGACGAGGCAAAAGAAAUUUUUUAGAAAAUGAAUCUCCGAAAAUGAUUCCUUGUGUCAUUUCAUUUACCUCUUUGAUUCAUGGAUUUUGCUUGGCUGGAAAGUGGGAGGAGGCGAAACGUUUGAUCAAUGAAAUGGUGGAUCAAGGUGUUCAAC